rfam:Blastomyces gilchristii SLH14081 genomic scaffold supercont1.7, whole genome shotgun sequence.
AGCAUGUUGGCGCAGCGGAAGCGCGCCGGGCUCAUAACCCGGAGGACCUUGGAUCGAAACCAAGACAUGCUA